rnacentral:rRNA from 1 species
AUGAACGCUAGCGACAGGCCUAACACAUGCAAGUCAGGGGCAGCACAAGGAGCAAUCUGAGGUGGCGACCGGCGCACGGGUGAGUAACACGUAUGCAACCUGCCUGUAAGCGGGGAAUAACCCGUUGAAAGACGGACUAAUACCGCAUAAUACUAAAUUACUGCAUGGUAAUUUAUUUAAACAUUUAUGGCUUACAGAUGGGCAUGCGCAUGAUUAGCUAGUUGGAGAGGUAACGGCUCCCCAAGGCAACGAUCAUUAGGGGUUCUGAGAGGAAGGUCCCCCCACACUGGUACUGAGACACGGACCAGACUCCUACGGGAGGCAGCAGUGAGGAAUAUUGGUCAAUGGACGAGAGUCUGAACCAGCCAAGUCGCGUGCAGGAAGAAUGUCCUAUGGAUUGUAAACUGCUUUUGCAGGGGAAUAAAGUGCAUCACGUGUGAUGUUUUGUAUGUACUCUGCGAAUAAGUAUCGGCUAACUCCGUGCCAGCCGCGGC